rnacentral:tRNA from 1 species
GAGGGCAUAGCUCAGUGGUGGAGUGCGUGCUUGGCAAGCACAAGGUCUUGGGUUCAAUCCCCAGAGCCUCCA